UGGGGAAUAUUGGACAAUGGGGGGAACCCUGAUCCAGCCAUGCCGCGUGUGUGAAGAAGGCCUUAUGGUUGUAAAGCACUUUAAGCGAGGAGGAGGGUACUGGUAUUAAUACUACCAGGUACUGGACGUUACUCGCAGAAUAAGCACCGGCUAACUCUGUGCCAGCAGCCGCGGUAAUACAGAGGGUGCGAGCGUUAAUCGGAUUUACUGGGCGUAAAGCGUGCGUAGGCGGCUAAUUGAGUCGGAUGUGAAAUCCCCGAGCUUAACUUGGGAAUUGCAUUCGAUACUGGUUAGCUAGAGUGUGGGAGAGGAUGGUAGAAUUCCAGGUGUAGCGGUGAAAUGCGUAGAGAUCUGGAGGAAUACCGAUGGCGAAGGCAGACAUCUGGCCUAACACUGACGCUGAAGUACGAAAGCAUGGGGAGCAAACAGG
rnacentral:rRNA from 1 species